rnacentral:rRNA from 1 species
CCUACGGGUGGCAGCAGUGAGGAAUAUUGGUCAAUGGGCGGAAGCCUGAACCAGCCAAGUAGCGUGCAGGAUGACGGUACUACGGGUUGUAAACUGCUUUUAUACGGGAAUAACGCGCCUUACGUGUAGGGCUUUGCAUGUACCGUAUGAAUAAGGAUCGGCUAAUUCCGUGCCAGCAGCCGCGGUAAUACGGAAGGUCCGGGCGUUAUCCGGAUUUAUUGGGGUUAAAGGGUGCGUAGGCCGGAUGUCAAGCGCGCGGUGAAAGGUCCGGGCUCAACCCGGGCCUUGCAGCGGAAACUGGCGUGCUUGAGUCCGCGGAAAGCAGGCGGAAUUCGUCGUGUAGCGGUGAAAUGCUUAGAUAUGACGAAGAACCCCGAUUGCGAAGGCAGCUUGCUGCAGCGGAACUGACGCUGAUGCUCGAAAGCGCGGGUAUCGAACAGGAUUAGAUACCCCAGUAGUC